ACGACUAUAUCCUGUUAAAACAGCGGUUCUCGUACGAUCACCGAAGUUAAGCAACAUCGUGCCUAGCCAGUAUCCAGAUGGCUGACCACUUGAUAAUACUGGGUGCUGUAAU